UACGGAGGGUGCGAGCGUUAAUCGGAAUUACUGGGCGUAAAGCGUCCGUAGGCGGCUUGUUAAGUCUGAUGUGAAAGCCCUGGGCUUAACCUGGGAACGGCAUUGGAUACUGGCGAGCUAGAGUUCGGUAGAGGGUGGUGGAAUUCCCGGUGUAGCGGUGAAAUGCGUAGAGAUCGGGAGGAACACCGGUGGCAAAGGCGGCCACCUGGACCGAGACUGACGCUGAGGGACGAAAGCGUGGGGAGCAAACAGG
rnacentral:rRNA from 1 species